GAUGAACGCUGGCGGCGUGCUUAACACAUGCAAGUCGAACGAUGACCCCCAGCUUGCUGGGGUGAUUAGUGGCGAACGGGUGAGUAACACGUGAGUAACCUGCCCUUGACUCUGGGAUAAGCCCGGGAAACUGGGUCUAAUACUGGAUAUGCACCGUGAACCGCAUGGUUCUUGGUGGAAAGAUUUAUUGGUCAAGGAUGGACUCGCGGCCUAUCAGCUUGUUGGUGAGGUAAUGGCUCACCAAGGCGA
rnacentral:rRNA from 1 species